rnacentral:rRNA from 1 species
GACGAACGCUGGCGGCGUGCUUAACACAUGCAAGUCGAACGAAGAGCGAUGGAUUCUUGCUUCUGUCAGUCUUAGUGGCGGACGGGUGAGUAACGCGUAAUCAACCUUCCCUUCAGAGGGGGACAACAGUUGGAAACGACUGCUAAUACCGCAUACUAUCUAACCUCGGCAUCGAUGAUAGAUGAACGGUGGCCUCUACAUGUAACCUAUCACUGAAGCAGGGUAUUGCGUCUGUUGGGUAGCUGGAGGGGGAAAGGAACACCAAGGGGAUGAUCAGUAGGCGGAAGGAGAGGAUGAACGGCCAGAUUGGGACUGAGACACGGCACAGAGGCAUACGGGAAGCAGCAGUAGGGAAUCUUCAGCCAUGGACGAAAGACUGACGGAGAAAGGCCGAGGGAGGGAUGACGGCCUUCGGGUUGUAAAGCUCUGUUAAUCGGGACGAAAGGCCUUCUUGCGAAUAGUUAGAAGGAUUGACGGUACCGGAAUAGAAAGCCACGGCUAACUACGUG